UAGGGAAUCUUCCACAAUGGGCGCAAGCCUGAUGGAACAACACCGCGAGAGUGAAGAAGGGUUUCGGCUCGUAAAGCUCUGUUGUUGGAGAAGAACGUGCGUGAGAGUAACUGUUCACGCAGUGACGGUAUCCAACCAGAAAGUCACGGCUAACUACGCGCCAG
rnacentral:rRNA from 1 species